rnacentral:rRNA from 1 species
GACGAACGCUGGCGGCGUGCCUAAUACAUGCAAGUAGGACGCAGUUGCGAACGGGUGCGUAACGCGUAGGUAACUACCUAUUAGAGGGGGAUAACUAUUGGAAACGAUAGCUAAUACCGCAUACUAGUAGAUGGACCUUCGUUGUAUUAGCUAGUAGGUAGGGUAAUGGCCUACCUAGGCAACGAUACAUAGCCGACCUGAGAAGGUGAUCGGGCAAACUGGGACUGAGGAACCGCCCAAAAUCCUACGGGAGGCAGCAGUAGGGAAUCUUCGGCAAUGGGGGGAAACCUGACCGAGCAACGCCGCGUGAGGGAAGAAGGGUUUCGGAUCGGAAAGCUAUGUUGUUAAGGGAGCGGUACUUAACCAGAAAGGGACGGCUAACUACGUGCCAGCAGCCGCGGUAAUUC